rnacentral:rRNA from 1 species
GAUGAACGCUGGCGGCGUGCCUAAUACAUGCAAGUCGAGCGAACGGACGAGAAGCUUGCUUCUCUGAUGUUAGCGGCGGACGGGUGAGUAACACGUGGAUAACCUACCUAUAAGACUGGGAUAACUUCGGGAAACCGGAGCUAAUACCGGAUGAUAUUUUGAACCGCAUGGUUCAAAAGUGAAAGACGGUCUUGCUGUCACUUAUAGAUGGAUCCGCGCUGCAUUAGCUAGUUGGUAAGGUAACGGCUUACCAAGGCAACGAUGCAUAGCCGACCUGAGAGGAUGAUCAGCCAAACUGGAACUGAGACACGGUCCAGACUCCUACGGGAGGCAGCAGUGGGGAAUCUUCCGCAAUGGGCGAAAGCCUGACGGAGCAACGCCGCGUGAGUGAUGAAGGUCUUCGGAUCGUAAAACUCUGUUAUUAGGGAAGAACAUAUGUGUAAGUAACUGUGCACAUCUUGACGGUACCUAAACAGAAAGCCACGGCUAACUUCGUG